GGGGAAUUUUGGACAAUGGGGGCAACCCUGAUCCAGCCAUGCCGCGUGAGUGAAGAAGGCCUUCGGGUUGUAAAGCUCUUUCGGCGGGGAAGAAAUGGCAACGGCUAAUAUCCGUUGUUGAUGACGGUACCCGCAUAAGAAGCGCCGGCUAACUACGUGCCAGCAGCCGCGGUAAUACGUAGGGUGCGAGCGUUAAUCGGAAUUACUGGGCGUAAAGCGUGCGCAGGCGGUUUCGUAAGACAGACGUGAAAUCCCCGGGCUCAACCUGGGAACUGCGUUUGUGACUGCGAGGCUAGAGUACGGCAGAGGGGGGUAGAAUUCCACGUGUAGCAGUGAAAUGCGUAGAGAUGUGGAGGAAUACCGAUGGCGAAGGCAGCCCCCUGGGUUAGUACUGACGCUCAUGCACGAAAGCGUGGGGAGCAAAC
rnacentral:rRNA from 1 species